rnacentral:misc_RNA from 1 species
AUAGGCAGGUCCCUAUCCUGCUCCCUCACCCCGGAGCGCGGGCUCUGCUCGCCACCGCUCUCAUGGCUCCCUCCAGCCGGACUUGUUGGGUUAUCCGCCAUGUCACCUAAAUCCCUGACGGAGAAGAGAGAGGAGGGUUAGUUAAAGAGUUUGUAUUUGGCGCGAGAUGGAAGAGAGAGAAAGAGAAGGGAUUGGUGGAAUUGUUAUUAUUGAGAGAGGUGAGAUCUGACGAUGGAGAAGAGAAG